AUUGAACGCUGGCGGCAGGCCUAACACAUGCAAGUCGAGCGGAUGAAGGGAGCUUGCUCCUGGAUUCAGCGGCGGACGGGUGAGUAAUGCCUAGGAAUCUGCCUGGUAGUGGGGGAUAACGUCCGGAAACGGGCGCUAAUACCGCAUACGUCCUGAGGGAGAAAGUGGGGGAUCUUCGGACCUCACGCUAUCAGAUGAGCCUAGGUUGGAUUAGCUAGUUGGUGGGGUAAAGGCCUACCAAGGCGACGAUCCGUAACUGGUCUGAGAGGAUGAUCAGUCACACUGGAACUGAGACACGGUCCAGACUCCUACGGUAGGCAGCAGUGGGGAAUAUUGGACAAUGGGCGAAAGCCUGAUCCUGCCAUGCCGCGUGUGUGAAGAAGGUCUUCGGAUUGUAAAGCACUUUAAGUUGGGAGGAAGGGCAGUAAGUUAAUACCUUGCUGUUUUGACGGUACCAACAGAAUAAGCACCGGCUAACUUCGUG
rnacentral:rRNA from 1 species